rnacentral:tRNA from 1 species
GGGGCCGUAGCUCAGCUGGGAGAGCGCUUGAAUGGCAUUCAAGAGGUCAGGGGUUCGAUUCCCCUCGGCUCCACCA